rnacentral:tRNA from 1 species
GGGUCGAUACCAGAGCGGUCAAAUGGAGCGGACUGUAAAUCCGCCGGCUACGCCUUCGUAAGUUCGAAUCUUACUCGGCCCACCA